GACUUCAGAAACAAGAAAAGAUUCAUUGAAAAGUGACCAACAAGCCAUGUGGCCAUGACACACCUCAAAUUGGCUGGCAUGUGCAGUCUUACCAUGUGCCUAGCAGGAAGUGCGAACCAGAAUAUGUGUGAAGAUUCCUAAAUGGCUCUACCCCUCUUCCCGUGUGAUAUUCAGAUGAAGAUGUCAAGCAGGAAUUUGGUGUCGCAGGUCUGAAAUGUAGAUCGGGAGACAGAGAUGAGGAGGUCGCUGGCUCAUAGGUGACAUUGCAACCACGUCAGUUCCUGUAGAUGUGUUCAACAAAGGAAUUCAAGCUCAGAAGGAACUCCUCCUCGGUAAUACACACCACAGUCCCGCCAAGUGUUUUCAUAAUUUACUAUAUCUCUGCCCUGGGG